UUAAGCGACUAAGCGUACACGGUGGAUGCCCUGGCAGUCAGAGGCGAUGAAGGGCGUGCUAAUCUGCGAUAAGCGCCGGUAAGGUGAUAUGAACCGUUAUAACCGGCGAUACCCGAAUGGGGAAACCCAGUGUGAUUCGUCACACUAUCAUUAACUGAAUCCAUAGGUUAAUGAGGCGAACCGGGGGAACUGAAACAUCUAAGUACCCCGAGGAAAAGAAAUCAACCGAGAUUCCCCCAGUAGCGGCGAGCGAACGGGGAGGAGCCCAGAGCCUGAAUCAGCAUGUGUGUUAGUGGAAGCGUCUGGAAAGGCGCGCGAUACAGGGUGACAGCCCCGUACACAAAAGCGCAUGUGUUGUGAGCUCGAUGAGUAGGGCGGGACACGUGGUAUCCUGUCUGAAUAUGGGGGGACCAUCCUCCAAGGCUAAAUACUCCUGACUGACCGAUAGUGAACCAGUACCGUGAGGGAAAGGCGAAAAGAACCCCGGCGAGGGGAGUGAAAAAGAACCUGAAACCGUGUACGUACAAGCAGUGGGAGCACAGGUUUACCUGUGUGACUGCGUACCUUUUGUAUAAUGGGUCAGCGACUUAUAUUCUGUAGCAAGGUUAACCGUAUAGGGGAGCCGGAGGGAAACCGAGUCUUAAUUGGGCGUUAAGUUGCAGGGUAUAGACCCGAAACCCGGUGAUCUAGCCAUGGGCAGGUUGAAGGUUGGGUAACACUAACUGGAGGACCGAACCGACUAAUGUUGAAAAAUUAGCGGAUGACCUGUGGCUGGGGGUGAAAGGCCAAUCAAACCGGGAGAUAGCUGGUUCUCCCCGAAAGCUAUUUAGGUAGCGCCUCGUGAAUUCAUCUCCGGGGGUAGAGCACUGUUUCGGCUAGGGGGCCAUCCCGGCUUACCAACCCGAUGCAAACUGCGAAUACCGGAGAAUGUUAUCACGGGAGACACACGGCGGGUGCUAACGUCCGUCGUGAAGAGGGAAACAACCCAGACCGCCAGCUAAGGUCCCAAAGUCAUGGUUAAGUGGGAAACGAUGUGGGAAGGCCCAGACAGCCAGGAUGUUGGCUUAGAAGCAGCCAUCAUUUAAAGAAAGCGUAAUAGCUCACUGGUCGAGUCGGCCUGCGCGGAAGAUGUAACGGGGCUAAACCAUGCACCGAAGCUGCGGCAGCGACGCUUAUGCGUUGUUGGGUAGGGGAGCGUUCUGUAAGCCUGUGAAGGUGGCCUGUGAGGGUUGCUGGAGGUAUCAGAAGUGCGAAUGCUGACAUAAGUAACGAUAAAGCGGGUGAAAAGCCCGCUCGCCGGAAGACCAAGGGUUCCUGUCCAACGUUAAUCGGGGCAGGGUGAGUCGACCCCUAAGGCGAGGCCGAAAGGCGUAGUCGAUGGGAAACGGGUUAAUAUUCCCGUACUUGGUGUUACUGCGAAGGGGGGACGGAGAAGGCUAUGUUGGCCGGGCGACGGUUGUCCCGGUUUAAGCGUGUAGGUGUGUGUUCCAGGUAAAUCCGGUUCACUUUAACACUGAGGCGUGAUGACGAGGCACUACGGUGCUGAAGCAACAAAUGCCCUGCUUCCAGGAAAAGCCUCUAAGCAUCAGGUAACAUCAAAUCGUACCCCAAACCGACACAGGUGGUCAGGUAGAGAAUACCAAGGCGCUUGAGAGAACUCGGGUGAAGGAACUAGGCAAAAUGGUGCCGUAACUUCGGGAGAAGGCACGCUGACACGUAGGUGAAGUGAUUUACUCAUGGAGCUGAAGUCAGUCGAAGAUACCAGCUGGCUGCAACUGUUUAUUAAAAACACAGCACUGUGCAAACACGAAAGUGGACGUAUACGGUGUGACGCCUGCCCGGUGCCGGAAGGUUAAUUGAUGGGGUCAGCGCAAGCGAAGCUCCUGAUCGAAGCCCCGGUAAACGGCGGCCGUAACUAUAACGGUCCUAAGGUAGCGAAAUUCCUUGUCGGGUAAGUUCCGACCUGCACGAAUGGCGUAAUGAUGGCCAGGCUGUCUCCACCCGAGACUCAGUGAAAUUGAACUCGCUGUGAAGAUGCAGUGUACCCGCGGCAAGACGGAAAGACCCCGUGAACCUUUACUAUAGCUUGACACUGAACAUUGAGCCUUGAUGUGUAGGAUAGGUGGGAGGCUUUGAAGCGUGGACGCCAGUCUGCGUGGAGCCGACCUUGAAAUACCACCCUUUAAUGUUUGAUGUUCUAACGUGGACCCGUAAUCCGGGUUGCGGACAGUGUCUGGUGGGUAGUUUGACUGGGGCGGUCUCCUCCUAAAGAGUAACGGAGGAGCACGAAGGUUGGCUAAUCCUGGUCGGACAUCAGGAGGUUAGUGCAAUGGCAUAAGCCAGCUUGACUGCGAGCGUGACGGCGCGAGCAGGUGCGAAAGCAGGUCAUAGUGAUCCGGUGGUUCUGAAUGGAAGGGCCAUCGCUCAACGGAUAAAAGGUACUCCGGGGAUAACAGGCUGAUACCGCCCAAGAGUUCAUAUCGACGGCGGUGUUUGGCACCUCGAUGUCGGCUCAUCACAUCCUGGGGCUGAAGUAGGUCCCAAGGGUAUGGCUGUUCGCCAUUUAAAGUGGUACGCGAGCUGGGUUUAGAACGUCGUGAGACAGUUCGGUCCCUAUCUGCCGUGGGCGCUGGAGAACUGAGGGGGGCUGCUCCUAGUACGAGAGGACCGGAGUGGACGCAUCACUGGUGUUCGGGUUGUCAUGCCAAUGGCACUGCCCGGUAGCUAAAUGCGGAAGAGAUAAGUGCUGAAAGCAUCUAAGCACGAAACUUGCCCCGAGAUGAGUUCUCCCUGAGACUUAGAGUCUCCUGAAGGAACGUUGAAGACGACGACGUUGAUAGGCCGGGUGUGUAAGCGCAGCGAUGCGUUGAGCUAACCGGUACUAAUGAACCGUGAGGCUUAACCUU
rnacentral:rRNA from 1 species